CCCAUUCGGCUCUUCACAAGGAGAAAGUCCAACAGCCCAUUUAUGGGUUGAACGGAAGCCUGUAUUAAGAUCGUCCCACAUCGGAAAAACGAUUGAAGAGCAGAAGUUAGAAGCAGUAUAUAAAUGAAGGAAGUUCAACCUUUGAAACAUACUUACCUGGACGGGGUCAAUGGGCGAUCAGGAAGGCUCAUGGCCUAGGUUGGUGAUCUCCAUUGCACUUUAGGAGGGGUGCCCGCCUAAGGUCUGCCCAAAGUGGCAGAGCCUACGUCAUAAUUUGUGGCAGCGGGGGCCUGCGUUCGCGCGGCCCCUUCCCAAAAUUAGUUAAACAAAUUAUUGACUUAGUGUUUCGGUGUUUUGAUUUCGUUUGAACUUUUUCAUUUGCAGAACGCGCUUUACCAAAUAUUUUUACCGUCAAUCUUCGUCUUCAUGAUCGUUGCCGGGUGAUUUUGGAUUCCCUUUUUUUUGUGUGGUUUUUCCAGAUUCUGCUGGGUGGUUAGGGAAUUCUAUUUCCAUACUCCGUCGUUUACUUUGCUCUUUGCUCCAUAUUUCUUUUCUUUCUACUUUUGGACUUGUAAAUUCCUAUAGAUUGGACCUUGACAGUUCGAUAUUCAUUCGAUUGCGAGUCGUUCUUGUUGAGAAUUUCCAUUCCGCACUUGUUUUUCUGAUAGUGCUCGUAUUUGCUAAUGGAGAACAAAUGUACUAAUAUUUUGUGGCGUUUUUAUUUAGCGGCGGUACUAACAUUUGGUUUAAUACGCUCUACAACCAAUUUGAUAAAAAGGGGGUUGGAUGUUUUCAGAAAACGAGGUUUUGUCAUCUUUAGGUCUGAAUGCGGUAAUUUUUAUGCGAAUUGUGAUUUUCCGGUUACUAAAUUCAUUCAGGAAAUUGUUUAUCUGUUCCAUUUUCUAUCGUGGGGGAGUUGCAUAUGCAAAGAUUUGAUUCUCCUUGAACUGAACUGGACUAGAAAAAGGUUCACGGUAGGACUAAAAAGCUUCGAAGAAGCUACUAUGAAAGCGGGAGCUAAUUUACUUCCUGCCUACACCAAAAACUGAAAGCAAGGCAAGAAGUGCAUUUUCCUUUAAAAGUUAGAUUUGGGUGAAGUUCCUUAUUUGUACGAUUAGGUGACUUCCAUCGUUUGUUUUAUUUGUACUACAUUCUUACCAGUUCUUGGUGGAAAAGAACAUGUGGGGAAGUUAGAUCAGUCGUAAAGCAUUGGUUUGCUUUUGUCUUGUUGUUUUAUAUUCUUUAACGGUGACUUCUGGUUCUCUAUCUUCAAGACUUCAACUGAAAACAUUACUUGAUUAAUACUAGAAGAAUAUCUGUUCUCAAGCCAGGCAACCAUUUCUAUAUAUAGCAAUGGACAUUGUCUAUUUAUUAAACCUGUGUUUUCUUGUUGAGUAUGCAAGUUCAUUUUCAUGGGUUCCAUUUCAUGUUCUCACAAUGUGUUCGAUAUUUACUUUUCAUUUUCUUGCUGACUUAUCUGGAACUCGUUAGGUUGCUCACAUUCUUAAGGGUUUAAUCUUGGAAAGAGUAGCUUCCUUUGAUGGCAGAAUGUACUGGAUAUAUGAUUUUGUUUCUAAGAUUUUUGCCUUGAUUAGUGAUCACUGGAAUUCACAUUCUCGAGGAUCAUUACAACUUGUACUUCUCUGAUUUUUAGAUAAAUAUCACAAAACAUAUCUGCUGUUUACUGUACUACGUUGGUGAUUAAGUAAAAUAUUUGUGCUUCUUUGCAUAUAUGCUUCAGUGAUAUUUAUUUAAUAUUUCUGAAGCCACUUGACUAGCACUCUAUCCUAGGAUCCCAUGCUGGUGAAAAUCAUGAGCAUUUGUGCAUCCAAAAAAUGAUUUAACAGCUGCACUUUUAAAAGAAUGAUCCGUUUUUGAAAAUAAACCAAUUAUCUUAGCUUCUUAAAUGCGUGAGUGUGAUAGUACAGAGGGAUGUAUUUUCACACAUAACCAAUAUGUAAUAAUUCUUGGCAUCUGUCUAAACUUGAUUGUAGAUCAAAAAAAUCUGUACGGGAAUGAUGUUGAUUAAUUUUGCAGUUUAGCUCUGCUGGAGUACGACUAUAUUUCUUCAAGAAGGAUCCGCUAUUUUUGUUCAUCCAAGCCUCUGUUUCAUCAGCUUACCAUCUUAGUUCGUGCAAUUCCUGCUCUUGCGGGGAGAAGUAUCGGUGACAGUGUUGAAAAUUCCUUCACUUUAACCCUUCAACCAAUACAACUAUUACGAAGUUCGAACUAUUAUCUUAGUUCUCAGAUAGAACUUAAAAUGAAUCACAUGUUCGUAAAUGUGUAUGCACCCAAGUAUGGAACUGGCGGGAAGUUCUGGGAGAUUGCGCACAGUUGCAUGAUUUUUCUUUAUUACUCAUGCAUGGUAUCGCUGUGGGAAUACACACACUGAAGGGGCUCGCCGACGCAUCAACUUCAUUGGUGUUCUUUCUCCACUUCGACACUUGUUUUUAAUGGAUACUGUCGGAAACGGUCCCUACCCAAUUUUUAUGCUUAUUCUGCAGAAACUUUGAUAAAGAAGGAUAGAGACGACGAGAAUGACCCUGCAAUAGCUGAAUAUCUAGAUAAAUUGGUCACCAUAAUAUGGUGACCCUGCCUUGAUUCUUGUUUUUCCACUUCCACAAUUUCUUGCAUCUACGGUUUUGACUUUAACUCAGGUUCAAUUCUACUCAUUCAAACUCCAAAAGAAGGUACAGAAGAAAGUCUCUUUCUCUCUCUUCCCCUUGUGGAUGUUUCUACUUUCUACAUUCAUCAAAACUUUGGCCCCCCUUCAUCACAAACCUGUGAGAUCAAGCUUCUAAUAUUUUCUACUUUCUCAAUGCAUUGGCUACCUAUUUAGAUUCUAAUAUCUUCUUCUUUCUCAAUCUAUUGGCUACUUAUUUAGAUAAAGAUAGACUUCUUCAAGAGGAAAAGAAAAACAAUACAUUACAAGGUACCCAUACCUUUUUGAUAAUUUGGUGGACAUUUGUAGCAUUAUAAAAUCUUUAAUCAAUAUGUUGGAGUUAAGAAGUAUAAGAUGCAAAGUUGUAAGAUAGUGUUUCUUAAUAAAUAUGUAAACUUCUCGAUAGUGUUUAUUA